UGAAGUCUUCUCAAGGAAACUCAUUUGUUUAAGUUUUUCCACUUCAACUUCUUCAAAGUGAGCCCUGAUACACACCACACAAAGGGAACAACCUAACUAACAGUGUGAUUGCUGUCACUGCUGAAUGACACCUGCUCCACAUGGGUCCCGUUGGUUUGCAGAAAAACCCUUUUUUCCUCACAGCUCAGAUGCAGACAGAUGUCUCCUGAGGUUGGUGCCUUAGGUUCUCCUUCCAGGAUCUGCCACACUCCCCGUGACAUUAGAACAGCUCAAGUGUCCCGAAGACAAGGCUUUGUCAUCAACUUUUUGCUAUAUA
rnacentral:lncRNA from 1 species